rnacentral:rRNA from 1 species
UACAGAGGGGCAAGCGUUGUUCGGAAUUACUGGGCGUAAAGCGCAUGUAGGCGGCCAAGCAGGUCGGAUGUGAAAUCCCUCGGCUCAACCAAGGAAGUGCAUUCGAAACCGCAUGGCUGGAGUCCCGGAGAGGAAGGUGGAAUUCUCGGUGUAGAGGUGAAAUUCGUAGAUAUCGAGAGGAACACCGUGGCGAAGGCGGCCUUCUGGACGAGGACUGACGCUGAGAUGCGAAAGCUGGGGAGAAACAGG